UACCAUAACAUGAACGGGAUUUUGAAAAUAAUCUCGAGGUGGCGGAAUAAUCCACAUAAAACAUCACCGGGGUUUAGAAAACACUCGUAAGACAGCGGAAGGAAAUAAACUUUAUUUAAGAUACCCCCGUUUAAUAGAUCGGGUUCCCAAAUCAGAGUACAAAAUAAAAAAUCGAUAUCUUGGCUAGAUAUUUUAGAAAACGUUGACGUGGUAAAAUACGAGUUAAAACGCUCGUGAUUCCUCGAACUCCACUCCGCCGGUUUCCUAAAUAGCUUGGAGAACCUGAAAAGAUAAUUUGUAUAAAAGCAUGAGCCCAAACACUGGCUCUGUAAGGACAUUAGUCUUAGUCUGACGAACUCACGCCUCUCUCAUCGCAUCUCUCACGACCUAUGGGAAUCCUAAAAUCAUUCGUCUAUGUUCUUUCCAACUAAUUAGAUUAUCUCUAUUCAUCAUCAUAAACCGUGAAAUACAAGCACGUCACACAUAUUCAAGCACAUAAUAACACAUAUACGCACAUAAUAGGGUUUUGUUUCGAAAACUAUUUGAAAAUCAUUUCGGAAAUCUUUCUUGUAAAUUAGUGCAUAAUCUACUAGGAAAUCCGUGUUAGACAUAAAAUCCCUUUCAACAAAAUUAUCCUUUUUAAACAAAACGGAAUUUCUUUUAAAAGAAAAUCAUUUUUCUUCCAAAAUCAUUUUUAUGCGUAGAUGCGUAUGACGGGAUCCCUAUCAAAACCUUAACGUAAGCAUCGGCAAUAGACGUUUAUAUGCUGAGCCCGAUCAUUCGGUGGGAGCUAACCACCCUAUAGUUCUAUAGUAACUGUUGUUGGGAUACCGGCCCCCCGUAUCCCGUGUCUAUUCAACCGUAGCAACGUCACAAUUUUGACCUUUCUAUAGUAGACCAUGCAAUACCAAUUAAUGACUCGAUGAAUGCACGCAAGUCGAUGAUCUUAAUAGCAACACGAUAAUAAUUCCAAUUAUAUCAUUCAUAUAAUUCGAAGGAGUUAAAUCACAUAAUUCGGAAGUAAUUUCCGAGGAUAUAGUAAGCACAUAUAGAUCAGACAUUAGUAAUAAAGACACAUAUACUUGUACACGUAUACACACAUAGGUACUUAUAUGCAUAUAUAUACCUAUACCUAUACGUAUAUACUCUAAUUUAUAACUAUGGAUUAUAAGUUUCCUCAACCCGAAGGGAGUACGCCUAUAACAUCAUAGGUCUAAACUAUCGAUAUACAUAUAAAUAUACUUAUACAUAUACAUACUUAUACCUCACAAGCGUAAAUCACAUAAUUCAAAAUACACAUAAUGAAAUUCAUCGCUUCUUAUUUAAAGAAUCAUCGGGAAAUCUAAUUCAUUAUAAGUACUAGCACAUAGUAAGAUCAAAGAACAACUUAGUAUUCUAAUCAUAGAUUAGUCUAAGAAUAUUUCUUAGAUGUAGCUCAAUACUCAUGGGAAACUUCAUCUAUGUUCAAUUAUAUUAAGUUGUGCCUCAAGAGUUUAAACCAUGCUCACAAAGGACCCUUUAAUUCAAGUAGUUUACCUUUUUAGGAAAAUCCGGCAGUUUUGACACUUUUAACUUUAAAAAUACAUAUCUCUUAGACCAUAACUUCAAAAAUUCUGAAACUUUAACACAAUACUCCUGUAUCAGUGGCAUAGAUUCCUUUAAAACAGUUUUCCAAAAUAACCAGUAGCCUAAGAGAAAUAAGUAAAACACUACAGUAGUAUGGUCACACUUUCAGAAACAGAACUAACCACUUUAAAAAUACCCAAUAAAUCAAACUUUUGUUAAAACACUGCACAUCUUUGUCGAAGACUGGUUUUAUAAGUUAUAAAUCCAUUCCAAGUGGAAUUAAAGAAGUUAACUAGGAAAAACAUCGAUUUUAAAAGCAAAUCUCAGCUGACUCAAAAACUGUGCAGGUUUAGUAAAUAAUUCAUAUCUUAAUCAUCUGAAAUAUAUCAAAUUAAAGAGAACAGAAAGAUCUAUUUACCCAUAAACUUUCGUGAUUUUUGGAAAACAGGGCAUCUGUGAAACAUGCAGUAAACUCCGAAACUGAAAACCUGAAAAUUCAUUAGUAAUCUAUAUCUACACCUUUGAUCAAAACAGAUCUGGCAGUUUAGGCACUAUAACUUCAGAAAUUCAUAUCUCCUAAACAGUAGAUACAAACCUGAUGACAUUUGGAACACAUGUUCAUAUCUGGGUCGUGUUUAUAGGGUUAAAACAGUUUAUGAAGAAACUCAUCUAUGUAAGAGAUAUAAUCAAUUUAGUGCAGUAACAUAAGCAGAAAUUCAGAACAGAUCCACUAACUUUAAAAAUACCAAAUAAUUCAUCACUUAAUCCAAAAGUUACCCAAUUUUGUAGAAUAUUAGAUUCAUAAGUACAUAAUCAUAUUCGAGUGAAAUCACUUCAAUAAGGGUAGUAUAAAAAGCUAUUUAACACAUAAUUCGUGGAUGACUCCGAAACUGUGCAGAUUCAGAAAACGAUUCAUAACUCACUCAAUACAAAUCCGAUUUAUGCAUAAUUUAUAUCCACAUGAAGCUAACCGAAAGAUCUAGAAUACCAUAAAAUUUCAUAAUUUUAUCUUAGGGAUUACCCGAUGAGACAUGCAAUACAAUCAGAAGCUACGAAACUGAAAUUCAAUUAGUGUUCAUCAAGAACUUUAUCUUCUAAAGCCCAAAAUUAAAACUACUAACAUAUAAUUCAUAAAAACCCAUAUAAUUUAUAUUAAUUAGGUUAUUAUUUCAGUAAAGACCAAGGUCCUUACCCAAGAGCAAGAAAUCGAAGAUGAAGGAGUAAGAAAACCCAAGGCUCGGUGGAUUUUCGGCGGGUUUGGCUUGGAUGUUCUUGGAUGGCUUUGGGGCUGAGUUUGAAGGAUGUGAAGGGGCUGUUGCUUGAAGAUAGAAGAUGGAGUUUCUCUUUUCGAGAGGAGGAGAGGAAUCGAAGAGAGAAGAGGAAGGGGCUUUGAUGGGAGCUUCUUGACUCGAAGGGGAAGAAGAGAAUUCUUCUUUGGGGCUGUUUUUGCUCG
rnacentral:lncRNA from 1 species